rnacentral:rRNA from 1 species
UGCGCAGGCGGGAUGUUAAGUCGGCGGUGAAAUUUUGCAGCUCAACUGUAAAAGUGCCUUCGAUACUGGCUUUCUUGAGUGUGGAUGAAGUAGGCGGAAUUUGUGGUGUAGCGGUGAAAUGCUUAGAUAUCACGAGGAACUCCGAUUGCGCAGGCAGCUUACUAAACCACUACUGACGCUCAUGCACGAAGGCUGGGAUCAAACA